AGGCCCAAAAAUUAUUGAAUUAAAAAUAGCCCAUGAAUUUUAAAUUAAACUGGCCCAGGAAUUAUUUUAUUUCCAGCCCGAACUAAUUAAAAUCUCAGCCUAUCUUAUUUCUCUAAUUUAUUUAAUGAGGACCAAAAAGUAGCCCAAGUAAAAAAAAAUGAGUCCAACAAAACACUCCAUCCUCCACUAUUGGAAAUUUCCAUCUCCCUCACUCCAAGUCAAAAUAAGAGAUCCCCAAUUGAAGAAACCCCAAAUCCGUCGCCUCCCUCAAUUUCUCAGCGCCGAUGCAGCGAUAGGGGGGAGGGGCUGGUCGCUGUUCAGUCUCCGUCGCACUUAUGCAGCAGCCACCGCCGUUGGAGAAUCCCUGCCGUCGUCUGGCUGCUUCGCGACUUCGUCGGCGUCGCUGGGCACUGCUGUUCGUUGGCCACCGCCACCGUUCAGCCUCCUAUUGCAGUCGCUGCUGGUCGGUCAGCCUCCGAUUAACCCCGAUUCAGCCCCAAAUUACUCCGAAAGAUAAGUUCUUUUUUUCCAAUCAGGUUCUUUCUUUUCAGUUCUCAAUUAAACCGUGAGGGGCGUGUUUGAUUGAUUUAGUUGUUGAUUUAAUUCCGAAUUAUGCGUGGGAGUGAUGUAUGAUGAUAUGCUGUGAGGGAAACACUUCAUAAACACCUCAUUUUUAAAUAAUAGUAGCAUCCUACCAAUCACAAUCAAUAGAUCUAUGUAAUUAACGCACAUGAUUAUGCCACAUCACCACUCAAAUAUUCAAUAAAAAUUUCGAUCAAUCAGUUAUAUAUUGUCCCUAAUUUGUCGACAUUUAUUAUUGCAGCAAAAAAAAGCGCGUUGGCGGCCCCCACACUCCGGUCCGACAUCAUGUGAGGGGUUCAAUCAGGGUACGCAGUAGCCUGUUAAGGGGGAGGUCUUAACCCACUGGCUGCCAGAAGCCCAUCUCCCAAGGCCUCACACUUGUGCCUGAGAGAUGGAAGCAACUACACGACAGCAGUGUGAUUCGAACCCAGACUCAUUGUAGCAAGAUCUGCCCCUCCGUUGCCAACUACGUCGACAUUUAUUAUUAUUUUUAUGGAGGUAACGGCUGGAAAGUGGGAUUGCUGAAGAAAGAUUAUUGCAUAAGAAAUUUACGCUCAUCUGCGCGAAAAAGAUGGAGAUUGGGCUCAAAAGAUUUUAUCAUCUCCAUUUGUUAGAUCGCAAGCCCAAAGUGAUUUAAUUUGUUGUAAUUAAAUCAAACCCAAAGUUAUUUAUUUAUUUGGACUCUUUUAUUUCUCAUGGCCCAAAGCCACUUUGAAUUAAACACUGGACUUUAUUUCAUUUAUUUGAUAAGCCACUUUGAAUUAAA